GACGAACGCUGGCGGCGUGCCUAAUACAUGCAAGUCGAACGCAGUGGGGACGGGUGAGUAACACGUGGGUAACCUCCCAUCAGAGGGGAUAACACUUGGAAACAGGUGCUAAACCGAUACUGAUGGAUGGACCCGCGGUGCAUUAGCUAGUUGGUGAGGUAACGGCUCACCAAGGCCACGAUGCAUAGCCGGCCUGAGAGGGUGGUCGGCCACACUGGGACUGAGAACCCGCCCAGGCUCCUACGGACGGGAGCCGUAGGGAAUCUUCGGCAAUGGACGAAAGUCUGACCGAGCAACGCCGCGUGGGUGAAGUAGGUUUUCGGGUCGUAAGACUCUGUUGUUAGAAAAGCGGUAUCUAACCAGAAAGCCACGGCUAACUACGUGCCAGCAGCCGCGGUAAUUC
rnacentral:rRNA from 1 species